rnacentral:rRNA from 1 species
UACGUAGGGUGCAAGCGUUAAUCGGAAUUACUGGGCGUAAAGCGUGCGCAGGCGGUUUUGUAAGUCUGUCGUGAAAUCCCCGGGCUCAACCUGGGAAUUGCGAUGGAGACUGCAAGGCUAGAAUCUGGCAGAGGGGGGUAGAAUUCCACGUGUAGCAGUGAAAUGCGUAGAGAUGUGGAGGAACACCGACGGCGAAGGCAGCCCCCUGGGUCAAGAUUGACGCUCAUGCACGAAAGCGUGGGGAGCAAACAGG